UACGGAGGAUUCGAGCGUUAUCCGGAGUUACUGGGUGUAAAGGGCGCGUAGGCGGGCUGGUAAGUCAGCUGUGAAAGUUUCCGGCUAAACCGGGAAAUUGCAGUUGAGACUGUGGGUCUAGAGUAUACAUGAGGGGAGUGGAAUUUGUGGUGUAGCGGUGAAAUGCGUAGAUAUCCGGAAGAACUCCAAUGGCGAAGGCAGCGCCCUGGGGUAGAACUGACGCUGAUGCGCGAAAGUGUGGGGAGCAAACAGG
rnacentral:rRNA from 1 species